GGAUCGGGAUAACACCUGGAAACAGAUGCUAAUACCGGAUAACAAUAGAUGAUGCCUAUCAACUGUUUAAAAGAUGGUUCUGCUAUCACUCUUGGAUGGACCUGCGGUGCAUUAGCUAGUUGGUAGGGUAACGGCCUACCAAGGCGAUGAUGCAUAGCCGAGUUGAGAGACUGAUCGGCCACAUUGGGACUGAGACACGGCCCAAACUCCUACGGGAGGCAGCAGC
rnacentral:rRNA from 1 species